UUUUUUUUUUUGAGACCGAGUCUCGCUCUGUCGCCCAAACUGGAGUGCAGUGGCGUGAUCUCGGCUCACUGCAACCUCCGCCUCCCGGGUUCAACGAUUCUCCUGCCUCAGCCUCCCGAUAAUUGCUGACUUCUGCUCUGGGAUUAUAAACAGGGUGGGAAUGUUCUCCCACCAUCCCUACCCCUGGAAUUCCUCUCCAAAGCAGAGUACGUCAAGUUUUCCCUGGUGUCAGACAGCAUUUCACCAUGAAACCCUAAGACCUGCCUCCUGGGCUCCUUCCAGCUGGUGGGCCUGGUGUGAAGGUGGGCUUCCUGGGCCUCUGGCAGAUGGAGGAUGGCAUUAAAUGCCAACACAGUCAGCUUACCAUCCACAAGGCCAGCAGCUGCCAACAGCUGCCCUAGACCUAUCAACAAGACAACUUCAUGGCUCCCAAUGGGAAUGGAGGCUGGGCCCGCCCUACUUAGAGCAGGGGAAAGAACUUUUCCCUCAAAGAGCCGGGGCAGGAUGCCAGAAUCUAACUACAUCCUCUCCCGGUUUGCAGUUCUAGGAAGUGGAAUUUGCUGCCCUAGGCGUGGUCUAAAGGACAAGUUUAG
rnacentral:lncRNA from 10 species